GCCUCCAUUUCCAAACUCCAGCGCACAGAUGUUUGCGGUCACUGUGGGGGGCGGAGGCCGGGGGUGCAGGGGGUCCUCUGGGAAGGAGGAUUGACCUCAGGGCCGUGGACACGGCCAGCCAAGAAGAAAAAUGGUUUUCUCUCCCAGCCUGCGUUCAUUCACAGAGUGCUCUCGCCUGGUUGCCUGAUUUGCUUUCUCUGCUCCCAGGACGGCAGCUAAAGAGCCCGAAGCAUGAACUCGGCCUGGGCAAUGAGGGAAUUAACUGGAACUCUGGGAUCACCAGAAAAUAAAUAACGCAAGGCGUAGUUCACUUGUGACUGGCAAAAAUGUUGAAUCUCUGCCCCACCUCAGAAAACUAGAUUCACACUGGACAGUAACUUUGGUGGCUGUCACCAUGAGAAAAGAAGUCUGAGAGAUUAAUGGGGAGAAGCUGGUGGCUGACACCAAGACACGGAGAACAGAGGUUGCUUGUUGUAAGGAGAUGGCCCAGAAAGAGGGGAAACCAAGCAGCUGAAAUCCAGAGGUGGCAGAGGCAGCAGGGUCUUGGGCUUUGAGGACUGAACUUCUGGGAGGUGAUGGGCGACGUGUGCCCAGUUGCGUGUGGGCAGCACUGAAUGCCGUCUUGAAGAGACUGAAAGGAUAGCAUCGCAUGGACUGUCUGAGGGACAUGAAAUAUGCUGUUUGGAUUUCCGGAUGCUGGGAAGAUAGUUGGCGAGGAACCCAGCUGUUGUUCCCUAACCACUUCCAGGUUGCACCACACUGCCCC